rnacentral:rRNA from 1 species
GAUGAACGCUAGCUACAGGCUUAACACAUGCAAGUCGAGGGGAAACGAUAUUGGAAGCUUGCUUCCGAUAGGCGUCGACCGGCGCACGGGUGAGUAACGCGUAUCCAACCUGCCCAUCACUUGGGAAUAACCUUGCGAAAGUAAGACUAAUGCCCAAUGACAUUUAUAGAAGGCAUCUGAAAUGAAUUAAAGAUUUAUCGGUGAUGGAUGGGGAUGCGUCUGAUUAGCUUGUUGGCGGGGUAACGGCCCACCAAGGCGACGAUCAGUAGGGGUUCUGAGAGGAAAGCCCCCCACAUUGGAACUGAGACACGGUCCAAACUCCUACGGGAGGCAGCAGUGAGGAAUAUUGGUCAAUGGGCGAGAGCCUGAACCAGCCAAGUAGCGUGCAGGAUGACGGCCCUAUGGGUUGUAAACCUCUUUAGCCGGGGAGUAAAGUGCGUGACGUGUCACGCAUUGAGAGUACCCGGAGAAUAAGCAUCGGCUAACUCCGUGCCAGCA